AUCAUUACUCUAUUUUUCUCUACACUCAUUACCUACAAAUCCAAAUCCAAAAUCCCAAUAUGAACGGGGUCUUAAAUUUCAUGUUUAGAACUUGUUUUGAUCCAUGAAUUAGUCGUUUCCAAAGUAGCUCUCUAUGGUAUCUAUAUGUUUGAGUGUGUUUUUGUGAAGUUUUGGUGUGAGUUUUAAGGUGUAUUGAAAGGUUUUUGGGUUGGAAAUCAAGGGAAGAACAAGCCGAAUUUUUCUAGAAAAUCUGCAGUUGCUACGGGUAAUGAGCACAGAAAUUGAUUUGGAUCUCUAGGCCUACCCUCUCUGAUGCUUUUCCGCUUUGAUUUGGAAGCAUGAUUCUGUAGCAAAACAUCCCAGUAGCUCCUCAAUUCUUGGGAGAUUUAGGGGGACCACUGUUUCAGUGGUAUUCUGAGAUCAGCCACUUUGUGCAUAUAUUGCCAAACGUUAGGUCUGUCUCCAAUCAUCCCCCACCCAUACCCCCAACAACUGGGGACUAGAUGGGUUCUGUUAUUGUUGUUGUUGCUAACUUGCUUGCUACGAGUAGCAGGGUUUUUGUGCUACGGAUAGCAAAUGAACAAAAUAGAAAACCUAUGUUUGCAACGGGUAGCAAGGUUUAUAGGUGCUACCUGGGAAAAUUUAUAAAACUUUGCUAUGCUCAUGUUUGAUCGCAUACACUUCUAGGACUUUAUUGUAAGCAUGAAUAGAGACACAUUUGGCAUUGACUAAUCAUAUUUUCAUUGCUUAAUUGUUAUAGGAGGUCCGUGUGAUACUUGAAUCGAGGUGAGUGACCUAUCUAAUACCUAAAUUAAAUGGUUUUAUACAAGUUUUCUACUUCAAUGCUUUGUCAAACAUGUUUUGUACUAUGAUAUGAACUCCAUGGAAUAUCAAUGGAAGGUGGAUAUGUUUUCCUAUCAAGCAAAGCCAUUACUACAAUGUGACACACAAAACGCUAGGGAUAAUUCUAAGACGUUGAAGCUUAUCCACUAUCGGGGACACCUGGUAGCUACACAAGACUAGUGGAAUAUGCUUUACAUAUCAAGGCUAUAUUUCUAUGAUUUUAAUCUCUAUGAAAUGAUUUUAUUGUUGUCAAUGGAAAGCAUGUAACUUAUGUAUUGGUCUUUCAUACGAGUUUGGGCUUAUGUUAUUUUCCACCUUUCAGGCAAUGAGAUGGGGUACCUUUUGGACAUGCUUUGUAUAUGAGGACACAUAGAUAAGGACUUGUACUGUGUAAAUGUUUGACUUGCAGUAGCUGUAGUUGGCUUGUUAAACUCUUGUACUAUGCACAACUCCAGGUGGUUUGCCAUGUAAAGAUCCUUGUGUCAAGACUUCUAGUUUGACCGCUCUGUAUUAAGAUCGGAUUUGCUUCCGCUUGUCGUUAUUUGAGUCCAUUUAGUCAUUUGCUAAGGAAAUGUUAUUUUGAAAUGGCCUUAGUGAUAGGAUCACUGGUGCUUUGUUGAGACUAACACCUUCAGGGACGGGCUAGGGUCGUGAACACCAGUCAACUUUUACCUUUGAGACAGGUAUACCCAUUGGAAGGACCUGAAAAAAAAACCUAUUUCUUUCAGAUCUUAACGUCGCAUCUGUACUUUUCAAGUGUUUGAAAUAUUUAGAUCUAAACGGCAUCUGUCGUCCCCUUAAAGACCCGGUUUGGAGAUAGAAUGGACCCUAAUCUUCUAAUAUCUCAAUCCUCCCAAGUAGCUUCUAUUAUCAAGAAUAAGACAUGGCAUUGGGAUAGAUCAAGGAACCCUGUUGUCAGAGAAAUCUUGACUCACAUCCCUCCAAAUUUACAGCCUAACUCAGCAACUGAGGACUCUAUUCUGUGGACAUUAACAGCAACGGGCAAAUUUUCCACUAAAACUGCUUUGCAUGGAUUCAGGAAUCCAUCUCCUGAGGUCUUUUGGUACAAUCUGAUUUGGUUUCAACAGGCAGCUCCUAGAUGGUCUAUUAUUGAAUGGUUGGCCAUUAGAGCUCAAUUAUCUACAAAAGACAGAAAGCAGGUGUGGAAGAUUACUAAUAACGCUGAUUGUGUUUUAUGUUCUGGGGUGUGGAGAAUCACUCCCAUCUCUUCUUUUCAUGCCCUUUUUCUUGCCAAGUCUGGAGUUACAUUCUCAGAUUGAACAAUCUCACCAGGUCUCCUAGUACUUUGAUACAGGAACUGAAUUGGUUAUGUCAAACUGUAAAAGGUAAUGGGUUUGAUGAAAUCAUUUUGUAAGUUGGCCCUAGCAGCUACCAUUUGCUACCAUUUACCACCUUUGGAAGGAGCGCAAUGCUAGAAUCUUUCAACAUAAAAUGGUAGACGUGAAAAGAAUGGUCACAGUCUCACAGAUAUAAAAUAUGCCUGAGUGAUCCUUGAAGCUUCGGUU